rnacentral:rRNA from 1 species
GGGGGGGGCAAGCGUUGUUCGGAAUUACUGGGCGUAAAGGGCUCGUAGGCGGCCAACUAAGUCGGACGUGAAAUCCCCAGGCUCAACUUGGGAACUGCGUCCGAUACUGGAUGGCUUGAAUCCGGGAGAGGGAUGCGGAAUUCCAGGUGUAGCGGUGAAAUGCGUAGAUAUCUGGAGGAACACCGGUGGCGAAGGCGGCAUCCUGGACCGGCAUUGACGCUGAGGAGCGAAAGCCAGGGGAGCAAACGGGAUUAGAUACCCCGGUAGUCCUGGCCCUAAACGAUGAAUGCUUGGUGUAACGGGUAUCGAUCCCUGUUGUGCCGAAGCUAACGCAUUAAGCAUUCCGCCUGGGGAGUACGGUCGCAAGGCUGAA